rnacentral:rRNA from 1 species
UACGGGGGGGGCAAGCGUUGUUCGGAAUUACUGGGCGUAAAGGGCGCGUAGGCGGCCUACUAAGUCGGACGUGAAAUCCCUCGGCUCAACCGAGGAACUGCGUCCGAUACUGGCAGGCUGGAAUCCGGGAGAGGGAUGUGGAAUUCCAGGUGUAGCGGUGAAAUGCGUAGAUAUCUGGAGGAACACCGGUGGCGAAGGCGGCAUCCUGGACCGGUAUUGACACUGAGGCGCGAAAGCUAGGGGAGCAAACGGG